GCAAUGAAAAUAACAAGUCAAGGAUACAUAUGUAGACUGAAUACGGUUUACAGUAAAAAAAGCCAAGCAAGUAGACACUCAUCCUACGAACGAAGCACCCUAUGAGAAAGUUUGUUGGAGCAUGUGACGAAUACAAUACAGCAAUGAACAAAUGCUUUAAAAAAGAGUAUCAUGUACGACUU